GGGGAUGUAGCUCAGAUGGUAGAGCGCUCGCUUCGCAUGCGAGAGGUACGGGGAUGAUACCCCGCAUCUCCA
rnacentral:tRNA from 1 species